AUUGAACGCUGGCGGCAUGCCUUACACAUGCAAGUCGAACGGCAGCACGGGUGCUUGCACCUGGUGGCGAGUGGCGAACGGGUGAGUAAUACAUCGGAACGUACCUUAUCGUGGGGGAUAACGCAGCGAAAGCUGUGCUAAUACCGCAUACGCCCUGAGGGGGAAAGCGGGGGAUCGCAAGCCCUCGCGCGAUUAGAGCGGCCGAUGCCUGGUUGGCUUGUUGGUGGGGUAAAAGCCCAACAAGGCGAAGAGCAGUACCUGGUCUGAGAGGACGAUGACCAACCCGUGGAAGGAGAGCGGGCCCAGAGUCCUACGGGAGGCAGGAGGGGGGAAUUUUGGCCAAUGGGGGCAACCCGGAUCCAGCAAUGCCGCGUGAGUGAAGAAGGCCUUCGGGUUGUAAAGCUCUUUUGUCAGGGAAGAAACACCGGCUCUAACACAGUCCGGGAAUGACGGUACCUGAAGAAUAAGCACCGGCUAACUACGUGCCAGCCGCCGCCGUAA
rnacentral:rRNA from 1 species